AGGCUAGAUGUCAAAUCGGAGCUGUAGCCACCGGCCUAUGCCAGAGCCACAGCAACGCGGGAUCUGAGCCGCGUCUGCAGCCUACACCACAGCUCAUGGCAACGCCGGAUCGUUAACCCACUGAGCAAGGGCAGGGACCGAACCCACAACCUCAUGGUUCCUAGUCGGAUUCGUUAACCACUGCGCCACGACGGGAACUCCUACAUGUGCAAUUUUUAAAAUGCAAUACCAUAGUUUUUUCCUAAAAAAACUUUUUCCAACUUCCCCUUCUUCUUAAAAUAUGAGUCAUCUUCUUUUGAAAGAAAUAAGAAAUGUUAAAUUCCAACUUAAAACCUAGGGCUGAAAGUAAGAUUCUAAUGAACCUCAAACCUCCCAUUUUACUUUCUAGGAUGAAAUGGAUGGUGUGAUUUCUGUUUCAAAUUUAUAACUAGAACAGACCAAAGCUGGGAUACAUUUUCUUGAGGAAAAACCACAGGUAGAUCUUCCAGAGUUCUCUUGGCUCAACAUAACUUAUUUUUUUAAGAAGAAAAAAAGAUCAUCAUCCAUCAAGUAAAAGCUCUAAAUGUAACCAAUCUGGACAAAUACUGGCUAUUCUAUAAACUUUAGAAGAUUAUGUAUACAACACAUCAACUAAGAGUCUAAACCUUUCCCAUUUACCUGAAGCGGAAGCAUAGUAAUCUCCUUGUUCUUCCCUUUUUUUGUGAGAAAUAAAGAAGGUAUCUUGCCAGACAUCAGGCAUCUCUAUCACAAGUUGGCCAGAGGAAAAGGAACCAGGGACCAACCUCCAAAUCAGUUUCAUUUCAUUGUUCAUUCCCAGGAAUUUUCUUCUUCCCUUUUUUUUUUUUUUUUUUAACAGACCAGUGGAGGAUAGUUUGAAAUCAUUGCCUAAACUCACAUAUUGCAUUAACUUCAUCUGUCUCUUAUCCAUAUUGAGUCAGUUGAAAUUACAAAAAUUACUCAUUUUUGACAACUUUAGCACAGAAUGUAGAGCCUUAAAGAUAAGUUUCUGUGUUUGGUGAAACGUACAAUACAAUUUAGAAAAGUCUUUACAAAUUCUUGCCUGUUUACUCUGUCAUAAUGUCUGUUAGGAUUUUCAUUGCAAAAUUAAUGUGUUUAUUAUAAGGCACUAACAUCAUAAUAAACGUUA
rnacentral:lncRNA from 9 species